rnacentral:rRNA from 1 species
UACGGGGGGGGCAAGCGUUGUUCGGAAUUACUGGGCGUAAAGGGCUCGUAGGUGGCCAACUAAGUCAGACGUGAAAUCCCCAGGCUUAACCUGGGAACUGCGUCUGAUACUGGAUGGCUUGAAUUCGGGAGAGGGAUGCAGAAUUCCAGGUGUAGCGGUGAAAUGCGUAGAUAUCUGGAGGAAUACCGGUGGCGAAGGCGGCAUCCUGGACCGAGAUUGACACUGAGGAGCGAAAGCUAGGGGAACAAACAGG